AACCCCAUCCGGAGCAAGACCGAGCAGCAGACGUUAAGAGGUGCCCCUUCGUUGUCUGCGGGUAGGUUGCUUGAGACCAUCGGCAACGGUGGUCCUAGAUAGAUGGUCGCCACUACGAAUACGUAGAACAGAACCCGGCGUACAGGCCGGCUGUUAUG
rnacentral:RNase_P_RNA from 1 species